GACGAACGCUGGCGGCGUGCUUAACACAUGCAAGUCGAACGGAAAGGCCCUGCUUUUGUGGGGUGCUCGAGUGGCGAACGGGGGAGUAACACGUGAGUAACCUGCCCUUGACUUUGGGAUAACUUCAGGAAACUGGGGCUAAUACCGGAUAGGAGCUCCUGCUGCAUGGUGGGGGUUGGAAAGUUUCGGCGGUUGGGGAUGGACUCGCGGCUUAUCAGCUUGUUGGUGGGGUAGUGGCUUACCCAGGCUUUGACGGGUAGCCGGCCUGAGAGGGUGACCGGCCACAUUGGGACUGAGAUACGGCCCAGACUCCUACGGGAGGCAGCAGUGGGGAAUAUUGCACAAUGGGCGGAAGCCUGAUGCAGCAACGCCGCGUGCGGGAUGACGGCCUUCGGGUUGUAAACCGCUUUCGCCUGUGACGAAGCGUGAGUGACGGUAAUGGGUAAAGAAGCACCGGCUAACUACGUG
rnacentral:rRNA from 1 species